AACGAACGCUGGCGGCAUGCCUAACACAUGCAAGUCGAACGAGACCUUCGGGUCUAGUGGCGCACGGGUGCGUAACGCGUGGGAACCUGCCCUUAGGUUCGGAAUAACUCCCCGAAAGGGGUGCUAAUACCGGAUAAUGUCUUCGGACCAAAGAUUUAUCGCCUUUGGAUGGGCCCGCGUUGGAUUAGCUAGUUGGUAGGGUAAAAGCCUACCACGGCGACGAUCCAUAGCUGGUCUGAGAGGAUGAUCAGCCACACUGGGACUGAGACACGGCCCAGACUACUACGGGAGGCAGCAGUGGGGAAUAUUGGACAAUGGGCGAAAGCAUGAACCAGCAAUGCCGCGUGAGUGAUGAAGGCCUUAGGGUUGUAAAGCACUUUUACCCGGGAUGAUAAUGACAGUACCGGGAGAAUAAGCUCCGGCUAACUCCGUG
rnacentral:rRNA from 1 species